rnacentral:rRNA from 1 species
UGAGGCGUGGCUUCCGGAGCUAACGCGUUAAGUCGACCGCCUGGGGAGUACGGCCGCAAGGUUAAAACUCAAAUGAAUUGACGGGGGCCCGCACAAGCGGUGGAGCAUGUGGUUUAAUUCGAUGCAACGCGAAGAACCUUACCUACUCUUGACAUCCAGAGAACUUUGCAGAGAUGGUUUGGUGCCUUCGGGAACUCUGAGACAGGUGCUGCAUGGCUGUCGUCAGCUCGUGUUGUGAAAUGUUGGGUUAAGUCCCGCAACGAGCGCAACCCUUAUCCUUUGUUGCCAGCGGUUAGGCCGGGAACUCAAAGGAGACUGCCAGUGAUAAACUGGAGGAAGGUGGGGAUGACGUCAAGUCAUCAUGGCCCUUACGAGUAGGGCUACACACGUGCUACAAUGGCGCAUACAAAGAGAAGCGACCUCGCGAGAGCAAGCGGACCUCAUAAAGUGCGUCGUAGUCCGGAUUGGAGUCUGCAACUCGACUCCAUGAAGUCGGAAUCGCUAGUAAUCGUGGAUCAGAAUGCCACGGUGAAUACGUUCCCGGGCCUUGUACACACCGCCCGUCACACCAUGGGAGUGGGUUGCAAAAGAAGUAGGUAGCUUAACCUUCGGGAGGGCGCUUACCACUUUGUGAUUCAUGACUGGGGUGAAGUCGUACA